GCGGUAAUUCCAGCUCCAAUAGCGUAUAUUAAAGUUGCUGCAGUUAAAAAGCUCGUAGUUGGAUUUGUGGCGCGGACGUCCGGCGGGGGCCCUUCCCUGAGCCCGUUUGUCCUGGUUUUGGGCCGCUCCUUUCUCGGGUAGCGUGUGGCUGUCAUUAGGUUGUUGGCCGCUUCGCGCCCGUCUUUUACUGUGAAAAAAUUAGAGUGUUCAAAGCAGGCUUAGGCCGUUGGAUACAUUAGCAUGGAAUAAUAAGAUUGGGCCACGACGGUCUAUUUUGUUGUUUUGCACGUUGUGGUAAUGGUUAACAGGAAUAGUUGGGGGUAUUCGUUUUCAAUUGUCAGAUGUGAAAUUCUUGGAUU
rnacentral:rRNA from 1 species